CUCUAGUACGAAAAACUUUCGAGUUCGUUUCGUUUGCGUAUUCAAAGUGCCAUCGAAAAAUUUUGUAUGAAAAAUUAAACAGCGCCCCCUAUAGGUCAUAAAAAGAAAAAAAACACCUAACUUUCGAUUUUCUUUCGUAUCGAGUUCAAAUACUAGGCGUGACGAAAGAUGGAUUUUGUAUGAAAUAACGUAGUACGAACCUAAUUUUGACAAUCAACGGUCGUUUCGUUGUCGUUGAAAUCAUCGAAUGUUGUGUCACUGUCAAUUUUGUUGUGAGAAGAUUACGUUGAUAUAAAUUUUACGUGUUUUUGAGGCUUAAAUGUGGAGAUUAUGUGGUCGGCGAAUUUAUUUCCUUGUUUGGCAUCAUUUAGAUUGUUUAGAUGCUUUAAGUUAAGAGAUUAGGAAGCAUCCCAACAGCAGGUAUUUGACCACAAUCGCACAUGAUGUUAAGAGGGAUGCAGUCUAGGAUGGUACAUAUCUGCCCUGUAAGAUACCUACUUAUGUGACAAAUUGCCGGAAAGAUAGUCUUAUGGCAACAAAAAGAGUGUCCUUGGAACACAAGGUUAUAUUAUGUGCUAUGCAUUAAGAUGCAUCCAGUUCAUACCAAGGCACUGAUGGUAUGAAGAAGCAUUUGGAAUUACUUAACCAAUGCUCUCAAUACCCCCA